GAUGAAGAACGCAGCGAAAUGCGAUACGUAAUGUGAAUUGCAGAAUUCAGUGAAUCAUCGAAUCUUUGAACGCAUAUUGCGCUCUUUGGUAUUCCGAAGAGCAUGCUUGUUUGAGUAUCAGUAAACACCUCAAAGCUUUUGGAUUUUUUAAUCGAAAAGCUUUGGACUUGAGCAAUCCCAACACCAAUCUUUUUGAGAUCGGUGGCGGGUUGCUUGAAAUGCAGGUGCAGCUGGACAUUCUCCUGAGCUAAAAGCAUAUUCAUUUAGUCCCGUCAAACGGAUUAUUACUUUUGCUGCAGCUAACAUAAAGGGAGUUUGACCGUAUUGGCUGACUGAUGCAGGAUUUCACAAGGGUCGGCAACGAUUCUUGUUAAACUCGAUCUCAAAUCAAGUAAGACUACCCGCUGAACUUAAGCAUAUCAAUAAGCGGGAGGA
rnacentral:misc_RNA from 1 species